rnacentral:lncRNA from 1 species
UAAUAAUAAUAGCAACAACAACAACAACAACAAUGAUAAUACUAAUAUUUUGCAGAAGAGUGAAAUUUCAAACGUAACUCUUGGCUGGUGAGGUGAAACUUUUAUUCCACCCUUAUAUUUUUUAUGAUUUUUUUCUAUAAUUAUUAUUAUUAUCAUUACUAUUGUUAUUAUCAUCGUCAUCAUCAUCAUCAUCAUUUUUAUUAUUAUCAUUCUAUGUUUGACUUUUGCUUUACAUUUGUACAAGUUGGCUCCAAGUCUCACCCAGAGACCUCAAGAGACAACAAGUCGGAAGUUCAUGUUAUUAUUAUUAUUAAUAUUAUUAUUAUUAUUAUUAUUAUUAUUAUUAUUAUUAUUAUUAUUAUCAUCAUCAUCAUUAUUAUUAUUAUUAUUAUUAUUAACAAUAAUAAUGAUGAUGAUGAUAAUUAUACUAAUAAUGAUUUGUUUUAUAGUAUUCCCAGUAAACAACAGACAUGUAAUAUGUAUGGCAAUGGCGUUACCUGAUGCUGGUGGUUGUCAUGGUAAAUUUAAUGAUGAUGACGAUGGCGAUGUUUAGGAGGAAGUAGAAUGAAGACAACGAUGAUGAUAAUAAUGAACAGCAAGCUAUAGGUCUCGAUAUAUAUAUUUAUAUUGUGGGAAUGUAUGUGUGUGUAUGUAUGCACCUAUAUAUAUAUAUAUAUAUAUAUAUAUAUAUAUAUAUAUAUUGAAUUUUUCCCUGUAAGUUUGGAGUUAUACUCCCUAAUAAUAUGUCAUAUAUAUAUAUAUAUAUGUAUGUAUAUAUAUAUAUAUAUAUAUAUGACAAAUAUACAUAUGCAUACGUGUGUGUGUGUGUGUGUGUGUGUGUGUGUGUGUGUGUGUGUGUGUGUGUGCGUGUGGGUGUGUAAAAUACAAGUAUAUAGUAUAGUGUUGAACAGAAAACAAGAUUAUACUCUGUCCUGUCAAACUAUCGCUUAUUAUAGAAAUCAGUGUGUUGGAUAGAUUGGAUAAAAAUACUUAUGAUACCGAAAGCUAAAACAGCAUUGAUGGAUGGAUGGAUGGGUGGAUGGAUAAUCAAUUGUGUACGUAUCUGGCGCCGAAAUCAUUAGCGUGUAUCUGAUCAUACAAGAGUUGAUAUAAGGGAAGCAACUCCGCUUGGUUAUGUGACUGUUUUGUUUUUUCUAUCUUUUGUAUUUUUGAUCUCACGCGUGUAAUGUCAGCGCACUAUGAAUGUAAAUCGAGAAGUCACUCACCAAAAUUGGUGAAUCAGAUCGAGGCUUAAUAACGGUAGAAUCAGUUUACAAAUUACACAACUUACUCGGAGUUAUCCGUAGUUUAAUCAGGCAUUGUUUAAAUUUCCAUUAUCUAAAUUAUCUGAAGACGGCGAACUGGCAGAAACGUCAUCACGCCAGGCAAAAUGCUUAGCAGUAUUUCGUCUUUCUUUACGUUCUGAGUUCAAAUUCCGCCGAGAUCGACUUUGCCUUUCCUCCUUUCGGGAUCGAUGAAUUAAGUACCAGUUGUGUACUGGGAUCGAACUAAUCGACUGGCCCCCUCCCCCAAAAUUUCGAGCCUUGUAUGCCUAGAGUAGAAAAGAUUAUCUUAUAUAUCUAAAUAGAAGAUCUGAAGUUUUUGUAGUGUCGACACUUUGACAAGUUCCUGCAUAAACUCUGAAAAUUAACACCGGAUUAAUCAAAUAGGUAUUAAACUAUCUGCUAAACGUAUUGCUUCACUAUUCUUCAACGUCUAAAUACUGAAAAUUUACAACACCCUCUUCAAAUUCAGACAAAAUUUUCCCUAUUAGCUAAAUUUGCUGAUUGGAUCCCGAUCUUAUUGAUCGGUUCCUGUUAACAAAGUCUCAUUCCUGCUCCUAAAACUUUCUCUUUAUUUACGUUUAAACAUUUCCUAUUAAUAAGCAGGCAUUUUACUCCAAUACUAACUUAAAAAGUCACAUAGCAAGACACAGUAAGACACAGUACUGCUCUAAGGAAGAACAGUUCAUGUAUACUUUUAACACUUCGGUGAUUUGUGUCCCUUAUAUCAACUCAUGCGUAAUCGGAUAAGCCUGACGUCGCACGUAAACAAGGAAAUACUGUACCGUUCGUUUAUAUCAGCGAUACAUCUUCAUGCAACAUGUAUUCUUUCAGGAAUAUGCAUAAAACUGCUAAACUAGGUUCAAUUAGAGGAAAUACCAUAUCAAUACAGGAAUAAGCAUUCUUCACAGUACAUCUGCUUUGGGCACAGGCUUUCAGUCACGUGGAAUUUCCUGACAUUAUAUACAAACACACACACUAACAGA